rnacentral:rRNA from 1 species
CCUACGGGCGGCAGCAGUGAGGAAUAUUGGUCAAUGGACGCAAGUCUGAACCAGCCAUGCCGCGUGCAGGAAGACGGCUCUAUGAGUUGUAAACUGCUUUUGUACGAGGGUAAACGCAGAUACGCGUAUCUGUCUGAAAGUAUCGUACGAAUAAGGAUCGGCUAACUCCGUGCCAGCAGCCGCGGUAAUACGGAGGAUUUAAGCGUUAUCCGGAUUUAUUGGGUUUAAAGGGUGCGUAGGCGGUCGGAUAAGUUAGAGGUGAAAUCCCGAGGCUCAACUUCGGAAUUGCCUCUGAUACUGUUCGGCGAGAGAGUAGUUGCGGUAGGCGGAAUGUAUGGUGUAGCGGUGAAAUGCUUAGAGAUCAUACAGAACACCGAUUGCGAAGGCAGCUUACCAAGCUACUUCUGACGUUGAGGCACGAAAGCGUGGGGAGCAAACAGGAUUAGAUACCCGGGUAGUC